GCAUAUCAAUAAGCGGAGGAAAAGAAMCYAACAAGGAUUCCCUUAGUAACGGCGAGUGAAGCGGGAAGAGCUCAAAUUUGAAAUCUUCAAGGUUUUACCUUGACGAAUUGUAGUUUAAAGAAGUGUUUUCUGCUGAAGUUUUGGUAAAAGUUCUUUGGAAUAGGACAUCAUAGAGGGUGAGAAUCCCGUAUUUGACCAUUAUUUUCAGCUUUGUGAUACACUUUCAAAGAGUCGGAUUGUUUGGGAAUGCAGUCCAAAAUGGGUGGUAAAUUUCAUCUAAAGCUAAAUAUUGGCGAGAGACCGAUAGCGAACAAGUACCGUGAGGGAAAGAUGAAAAGAACUUUGAAAAGAGAGUUAAACAGUACGUGAAAUUGUCAAAAGGGAAGCGUUUGACACCAGUGUUGUUUUUCUGAAAAUCAAUUAAAGAACUGUUUAUGCUAAGCUGUUUAGACUUUAUCAGCUAUCUGUUUAGUUUUGAGCUUUUCUUUAAUGCACUUUUCAGUUAACAAGUCAACAUCAAUUUCUUUUGCUGUAAAAAAGCUUGAGGAAGGUGGCUUGAGAUUCGUCUUAAGUGUUUAUAGCCUCUUGCCUAUGCAGUCGGAGAGAUUGAGGUCUGCAGCGUAGAUCCUUCGGGGCUAAAUGCAUUUGUGCUAAGUUAUAGCAUUUUAUAGACAACUUGUUGACUAUGAUUUGUCUUGUAGCUUACUCGCUUAUGUUAUUUUACCUACGCUUAGGAUGUUGACAAAAUGGUUUUAAACGACCCGUCUUGAAACACGGACCA
rnacentral:rRNA from 1 species